UACAGGGGGGGCAAGCGUUGUUCGGAAUUACUGGGCGUAAAGGGCUUGUAGGUGGCCAACUAAGUCACACGUGAAAUCCCCAGGCUUAACCUGGGAACUGCGUGUGAUACUGGAUGGCUUGAAUCCGGGAGAGGGAUGCGGAAUUCCAGGUGUAGCGGUGAAAUGCGUAGAUAUCUGGAGGGACACCGGUGGCGAAGGCGGCGUCCUGGACCAACACUGACACUGAGGAGCGAAAGCCAGGGGAGCAAACGGG
rnacentral:rRNA from 1 species